GCCUCUGGAGAAUCCCGGCUAUCGGGUGCCGAAGGGGCAAGGCGGAAUGCAUACGCGAACGUGGACGCGGUCCACGCGCGGCACCGUUGAAACUCUCAGGCAAAAGGACAGAGCU
rnacentral:ncRNA from 1 species